rnacentral:snoRNA from 1 species
AGCCUAUGGUGUAGGCACUUUCUAAGAAGAUCCUUAAAUAGCUCCCAAGCGUCAUAUAAGGACUCACCAUUAAAUUGUUUAAAAGUAGUUAUGUCAUUCCUCAUCUU